GAUGAACGCUGGCGGCGUGCUUAAUACAUGCAAGUCGAACGGAAAGGCCCUGCUUUUGUGGGGUGCUCGAGUGGCGAACGGGUGAGUAACACGUGAGUAUCCUGCACUUGACUUUGGGAUAACUUCAGGAAACUGGGGCUAAUAUCGGAUAGGAGCUCCUGCUGCAUGGUGGGGGUUGGAAAGUUACGGCGGUUGGGGAUGGACUCGCGGCUUAUCAGCUUGUUGGUGUGGUAGUGGCUUACCAAGGCUUUGACGGGUAGCCGGCCUGAGAGGGUGAACGGGGUCAUGAGGACUACGAGACGGCGCAGAAUCCUACGGGAGGCAACGGUGGAGAGUAUGACGGAAUGGCGGGGAGCCUGAGACGACAACGCCGCGUGCGUAAAAACGGCCUUCUAGUGGUGAACCGCUUUCGCCUGUAACAAAGCGGUAGUGACGGUAAUGGGUAAGAAAGCACCGGCUAACUACGUG
rnacentral:rRNA from 1 species